rnacentral:rRNA from 1 species
AGAAAACAAAGGGAUUGCCCUAGUACGGCGAGUGAAGCGGCAACAGCUCAAAUUUGAAAUCUGGCCCUCUUUGGGGGGUCCGAGUUGUAAUUUGUAGAGGGUGCUUUGGCAUAGGCGGCGGUCUAAGUUCCUUGGAACAGGACAUCGCAGAGGGUGAGAAUCCCGUAUGUGGGCGCCUGCCUUUGCCGUGUAAAGCCCCUUCGACGAGUCGAGUUGUUUGGGAAUGCAGCUCUAAAUGGGAGGUAAAUUUCUUCUAAAGCUAAAUACCGGCCAGAGACCGAUAGCGCACAAGUAGAGUGAUCGAAAGAUGAAAAGUACUUUGGAAAGAGAGUCAAAUAGCACGUGAAAUUGUUGAAAGGGAAGCGCUUGCAGCCAGACGUGCCCGCAGUUGCUCACCCCGGCUCUUUGCCGGGGGCACUCUUCUGCGGGCAGGCCAGCAUCAGUUUGGGCGGUCGGAUAAAGGCCUCUGUCAAGUAUCUUCCUUCGGGAUGACCUUAUAGGGGAGGCGCAAUGCGACCAGCCCGGACUGAGGUCCGCGCAUCUGCUAGGAUGCUGGCGUAAUGGCUGUAAGCGGCCCGUCUUGAAACACGGACCAAGGAGUCUAACAUCUAUGCGAGUGUUUGGGUGUCAAGCCCGGGCGCGCAAUGAAAGUGAACGGAGGUGGGAUCCCCUUCGGGGUGCACCAUCGACCGAUCCUGAUGUCUUCGGAUGGAUUUGAGUAAGAGCAUAGCUGUUGGGACCCGAAAGAUGGUGAACUAUGCUUGAAUAGGGUGAAGCCAGAGGAAACUCUGGUGGAGGCUCGCAGCGGUUCUGACGUGCAAAUCGAUCGUCAAAUUUGGGCAUAGGGGCGAAAGACUAAUCGAACCAUCUAGUAGCUGGUUCCUGCCGAAGUUUCCCUCAGGAUAGCAGUAACGUAUUCAGUUUUAUGAGGUAAAGCGAAUGAUUAGAGGCCUGGGGGGUUGAAACAACCUUCACCUAUUCUCAAACUUUAAAUAUGUAAGAAGUCCUUGUUACUUGAUUGAACGUGGACAUUUGAAUGUACCGUUACUAGUGGGC